GACAGAGGUGCCAAGCGUUAGGCGGAAUCACUGGGCUUAAAGCGUGUGUAGGCGGAAUGGUAAGUACCUUGUGAAAUCCCACAGCUCAACUGUGGAACUGCUCGGUAUACUGCUUUUCUUGAGCCACUUAGGGGCUGUCGGAACAAACGGUGGAGCGGUGAAAUGCGUAGAUAUCGAGAGGAACACCUGCGGCGAAGGCGGGUUGCUGGGCUAACACUGACGCUGAGGCGCGAAAGCCAGGGGAGCGAACGGG
rnacentral:rRNA from 1 species